CUUCCCGCGUGGGCCCCGGUUCCUGAGGCGCUGGCUCCCGGGUGCCCCCCUCCGGGAGCUGGCGGUGGGAACCUUCGAUGGGCCCCCAACCUCGAAGUCUCCGCCACCUUUCCCGAGUGGGGGGCGCAGGAUGCCCGACCCAAAGCCAACCCCCCACCGCCGCUCGAAUCGCCAAUGUGACCUCUGCUGUGACCUCUGUCCCAGUUCAACGAUCACCCAACCUCCCUUAACAAAAAAAAAGUGUUUCCUCAUCACCAAAAAUACCAGCGUUGUCCCACUUUAGCCCUUGAGGCCACAAAUGCAGGAAUAGCUACACUCUUGAAGCAACUGUAACCAAGUUGGUAACAACGCAGGGGAAUUCUUCGGUAAAAUUCCUUCCUCUUACAAAAUCCAGCUCACCCUGCACAGUCAACCUAAUUGUCACCGAAUAUAGGAGAAUGGGGAAACUAGGAUUUGCGUGUUCAAGGGCGGACAAGCCAGUCCAAACAGGCAUUCCAGUCAUUGGGUGGGUGACAGCCAAAGAAGAUCCACCUGGUCACAUCCCAAUUUCCCCAGGGCAUCCGAAGCAGGUCUGAGCAGCCAAGGAUAACUACUUAGUCUCCUGCUAGAAAAUAUCUCAGUUGUUAUCCCCACUUUAUAGAUGGUCAACUUACUUUAUCUAUCUGAUGAUUGGCUCCUACAGCCAGUAAGUGGUGAAGCUGAGAUGUAAUUCCAAGGCUGCUGAUCUCCAAAGCCAGUUGUCUUUCCAAAUAUUAGAAUAUACUAGUGUCUGUGGUCUGUUAAAAAAAAUGAUGACAGUGCCUUUUUAAAUAAAAUUUAAAGCAUGUACAUGAAAAAUACUAAA
rnacentral:lncRNA from 1 species